rnacentral:rRNA from 1 species
UACGUAGGUGGCGAGCGUUGUCCGGAUUUACUGGGCGUAAAGAGCGCGCAGGCGGCUGGUCAAGUCCGAUGUGAAAGCUCCCGGCUUAACUGGGAAAUUGCAUCGGAAACUGAUCGGCUGGAAGGUGGGAGAGGGUAGCGGAAUUCCCGGUGUAGUGGUGAAAUGCGUAGAGAUCGGAAAGAACACCAACGGCGAAAGCACUCUGCUGGGCCGACACUGACACUGAGAGACGAAAGCUAGGGGAGCGAAUGGG